GAUUAGAUACCCUAUUAUUUUAGGAUCGUAAGGUGGUUUAGUAAGGUGACAACUGAUGAAUAAGGAACAUGGCGGUCUACCGACGAGAUAGAGGACUAUUGCGUGUAAAUGAAACGGCACAUACUUCUUACCUACUUUAGAAUUAAUCACUUUGUACACCGCUAUCUGAAAUUUGGGACGAAAGAUCCUAUUAAUACUAUGGUAUCCCAUUGUGACAUUGGGCUGUAAGUUAAGUUUAGGUGCAGGUUAUAAGAAGGUUAGCGUGUGGACCACUACUAUUACUAUGGAGUACCUUUAUAUAUAGGGUGCGAAAGCGAAUUUAUAAGUAAGAAGGGGUCUCGACUCUCUGCUGAAAUCGCAACUGUGGACGUACACAUCG
rnacentral:rRNA from 1 species